GAUGAACGCUGGCGGCGUGCCUAAUACAUGCAAGUCGAGCGAACAGACGAGGAGCUUGCUCCUUUGACGUUAGCGGCGGACGGGUGAGUAACACGUGGAUAACCUACCUAUAAGACUGGGAUAACUUCGGGAAACCGGAGCUAAUACCGGAUAAUAUAUUGAACCGCAUGGUUCAAUAGUGAAAGACGGUUUUGCUGUCACUUAUAGAUGGAUCCGCGCCGCAUUAGCUAGUUGGUAAGGUAACGGCUUACCAAGGCAACGAUGCGUAGCCGACCUGAGAGGGUGAUCGGCCACACUGGAACUGAGACACGGUCCAGACUCCUACGGGAGGCAGCAGUAGGGAAUAUUCCACAAUGGGCGAAAGCCUGACGGAGCAACGCCGCGUGAGUGAUGAAGGUCUUCGGAUCGUAAAACUCUGUUAUUAGGGAAGAACAGAUGUGUAAGUAACUAUGCACGUCUUGACGGUACCUAAUCAGAAAGCAACGGCUAACUACGUG
rnacentral:rRNA from 1 species